rnacentral:rRNA from 1 species
AGUGGAUGGGGAGCAACCUAGUUGUGCGUGUGUAAAGGUAGUGCCAAGAAAAGCGAUGAUCAUGUUGAAAAUCAAUUCCCGGUACCCGAAACCGACACAGGUGGGCAAGUAGAGAAUACUAAGGGGCGCGAGGUAACUCUCUCCAAGGAACUCGGCAAAAUGACCCCGUAACUUAGGGAGAAGGGGUGCCACCGAGAGGUGGUCGCAGUGAAGAGGCCCAGGCGACUGUUUAGCAAAAACAUAGGUCUCUGCAAACUCGAAAGAGGAGGUAUAGGGGCUGACGCCUGCCCAGUGCCGGAAGGUUAAAGAAGUUGGUCAGUCUUAGGAUGAAGCUAGCGACUGAAGCCCCGGUGAACGGCGGCCGUAACUAUAACGGUCCUAAGGUAGCGAAAUUCCUUGUCGGGUAAGUUCCGACCCGCACGAAAGGCGUAACGAUCUGGGCGCUGUCUCGGAGAGAGGCUCGGCGAAAUAGGAUUGUCUGUGAAGAUACGGACUACCUGCAUUUGGACAGAAAGACCCUAUGAAGCUUUACUAUAGCUUGGAAUUGUGUUCGGGCUUCCUGUGCGCAGGAUAGGUGGGAGGCGUAGAAGGUAUUCUUGUGGGGAUACUGGAGCCAACGGUGAGAUACCACUCUCAGGAGGCUAGAAUUCUAACUUAAUUAAGGACAGUUUCAGGUGGGUAGUUUGACUGGGGCGGUCGCCUCCAAAAAGGUAACGGAGGCGUACAAAGGUUCCCUCAGACUGGUUGGAAAUCAGUCGAAGAGUGCAAAGGCAGAAGGGAGCUUGACUGCGAGAAGUACAGUUCGAGCAGGGUGGAAACACGGUCUUAGUGAUCCGACGGUGCUGUGUGGAAGGGCCGUCGCUCAACGGAUAAAAGUUACUCUAGGAUAACAGGCUGAUCUCCCCCAAGAGUUCACAUCGACGGGGAGGUUUGGCACCUCGAUGUCGGCUCAUCGCAACCUGGGGCGGAAGUACGUCCCAAGGGUUGGGCUGUUCGCCCAUUAAAGCGGUACGUGAGCUGGGUUCAGAACGUCGUGAGACAGUUCGGUCCAUAUCCGAUGUAGGCGUGAGAAUAUUGAGAGGAGCCUUCCUUAGUACGAGAGGACCGGGAAGGACGCACCGCUGGUGUACCUGUUAUGAUGCCAAUUGUAAACGCAGGGUAGCCAAAUGCGGAGAGGAUAACCGCUGAAAGCAUCUAAGUGGGAAGCCCACCUCAAGAUGAGUAUUCUGGUGUAAGGUCACGGGAAGACGACCCGUAAAUAGGCACGAGGUGGAAGUGCAGAGAUGUAUGAAGCCGAAGUGUACUAAUAGACCGUCGGCUUGACC